AGAGUUUGAUCCUGGCUCAGAUUGAACGCUGGCGGCAGGCCUAACACAUGCAAGUCGAACGGUAACAGGAAGAAGCUUGCUUCUUUGCUGACGAGUGGCGGACGGGUGAGUAAUGUCUGGGAAACUGCCUGAUGGAGGGGGAUAACUACUGGAAACGGUAGCUAAUACCGCAUAACGUCGCAAGACCAAAGAGGGGGACCUUCGGGCCUCUUGCCAUCGGAUGUGCCCAGAUGGGAUUAGCUAGUAGGUGGGGUAAAGGCUCACCUAGGCGACGAUCCCUAGCUGGUCUGAGAGGAUGACCAGCCACACUGGAACUGAGACACGGUCCAGACUCCUACGGGAGGCAGCAGUGGGGAAUAUUGCACAAUGGGCGCAAGCCUGAUGCAGCCAUGCCGCGUGUAUGAAGAAGGCCUUCGGGUUGUAAAGUACUUUCAGCGGGGAGGAAGGGAGUAAAGUUAAUACCUUUGCUCAUUGACGUUACCCGCAGA
rnacentral:rRNA from 1 species